UUAUUCAGAAAAGAUCGGGCCCAGCACAGGCAGCGUCAGUGCAAACUUCCCCUACCCCGCCUUCCACCCAUGUGUGUCAACCCUGCCCCUGGAGGGACCAUCUCUCGAGGCUGAAUG
rnacentral:sRNA from 1 species